rnacentral:rRNA from 1 species
GACGAACGCUGGCGGCGUGCUUAACACAUGCCAGUCGAACGGAAAGGCCUCUUUCGGGGGGUACUCGAGUGGCGAACGGGUGAGUAACACGUGAGUAACCUGCCCUUGACUUUGGGAUAACUUCAGGAAACUGGGGCUAAUACCGGAUAGGAGCUCCUGCUGCAUGGUGGGGGUUGGAAAGUUUCGGCGGUUGGGGAUGGACUCGCGGCUUAUCAGCUUGUUGGUGGGGUAGUGGCUUACCAAGGCUUUGGCGGGUAGCCGGCCUGGGAGGGUGACCGGCCACAUUGGGACUGAGAUACGGCCCAGACUCCUACGGGAGGCAGCAGUGGGGAAUAUUGCACAAUGGGUGGAAGCCUGAUGCAGCAACGCCGUGUGCGGGAUGACGGCCUUCGGGUUGUAAACCGCUUUCGCUCAUGACGAAGCUUUGUGUGACGGUAGUGGGUAAAGAAGCACCGGCUAACUACGUG